rnacentral:rRNA from 1 species
CUGGGCUUGACAUCCCGAUCGCACUUUAUGGAAACAUAGAGGUCAGUUCGGCUGGAUCGGAGACAGGUGGUGCAUGGUUGUCGUCAGCUCGUGUCGUGAGAUGUUGGGUUAAGUCCCGCAACGAGCGCAACCCUUGUGUUUAGUUGCCAACAGGUUAAGCUGUGCACUCUAAACAGACUGCCGUGGAUAACACGGAGGAAGGUGGGGAUGACGUCAAAUCAUCAUGCCCCUUAUGAUCUGGGCUACACACGUGCUACAAUGGUCGGUACAACGGGCAGCGAAAGAGCGAUCUGGAGCGAAUCCUAAAAAGCCGAUCCCAGUUCGGAUUGCAGGCUGAAACUCGCCUACAUGAAGUUGGAGUUGCUAGUAAUCGCGAAUCAGAAUGUCGCGGUGAAUGCGUUCCC